AGUCCAGAGCCGUCGGCUGUACAAGUUUGCAGAUGGCUGUGUGCCUCUUACUCCUGGGAUUCCCGACUCGACUCCAACGGCAGUAGGAGUGAUGCAACUUCAGUAGACCUGUAGAGACUGUCCAGUUUGGCUGAGCUUAUCCUCUGAAGCAGUACCGGAAAGGAGAGGGGGCAUCGAAAUUUCCCUGGCCAGACCUUCAGCCUUUGUACAUCAUGGUUCAUCUUUUUCUGUCAUCACAUCAAGUGGCAUGACUUCAGCAUGGAGCUGGAAGAUGUUCAUGUCCCCUAGGACAGCUGUAUAGCCUCGGUUUAAGGAACUCUUCUGGGAGGUGGAAGAUAUCAUUUUGGACCUUUUCAGAAUAAGGUGGGUAGAG
rnacentral:lncRNA from 1 species